rnacentral:rRNA from 1 species
ACACAUGCAAGUCGAGGGGCAGCAUGGUCUUAGCUUGCUAAGGCCGAUGGCGACCGGCGCACGGGUGAGUAACACGUAUCCAACCUGCCGUCUACUCUUGGACAGCCUUCUGAAAGGAAGAUUAAUACAAGAUGGCAUCAUGAGUCCGCAUGUUCACAUGAUUAAAGGUAUUCCGGUAGACGAUGGGGAUGCGUUCCAUUAGAUAGUAGGCGGGGUAACGGCCCACCUAGUCUUCGAUGGAUAGGGGUUCUGAGAGGAAGGUCCCCCACAUUGGAACUGAGACACGGUCCAAACUCCUACGGGAGGCAGCAGUGAGGAAUAUUGGUCAAUGGGCGAGAGCCUGAACCAGCCAAGUAGCGUGAAGGAUGACUGCCCUAUGGGUUGUAAACUUCUUUUAUAAAGGAAUAAAGUCGGGUAUGUAUACCCGUUUGCAUGUACUUUAUGAAUAAGGAUCGGCUAACUCCGUGCCAGCAGCCGCGGUAAUACGGAGGAUCCGAGCGUUAUCCGGAUUUAUUGGGUUU